rnacentral:rRNA from 1 species
CGGAUGCGAUCAUACCAGCGCUAAUG